CCUACGGGAGGCAGCAGUGGGGAAUAUUGCACAAUGGGCGCAAGCCUGAUGCAGCAACGCCGCGUGAGGGACGACGGCCUUCGGGUUGUAAACCUCUUUUAGUAGGGAAGAAGCGAAAGUGACGGUACCUGCAGAAAAAGCACCGGCUAACUACGUGCCAGCAGCCGCGGUAAUACGUAGGGUGCAAGCGUUGUCCGGAAUUAUUGGGCGUAAAGAGCUCGUAGGCGGUUUGUCGCGUCUGCUGUGAAAACCCGAGGCUCAACCUCGGGCCUGCAGUGGGUACGGGCAGACUAGAGUGCGGUAGGGGAGAUUGGAAUUCCUGGUGUAGCGGUGGAAUGCGCAGAUAUCAGGAGGAACACCGAUGGCGAAGGCAGAUCUCUGGGCCGUAACUGACGCUGAGGAGCGAAAGCAUGGGGAGCGAACAGGAUUAGAUACCCUGGUAGUCCAUGCCGUAAACGUUGGGAACUAGAUGUAGGGACCAUUCCACGGUUUCUGUGUCGCAGCUAACGCAUUAAGUUCCCCGCCUGGGGAGUACGGCCGCAAGGCUAAAACUCAAAGGAAUUGACGG
rnacentral:rRNA from 1 species